AAAAAUCCAAAAAAAAAAAAAAAUCAAGAUAUAAAUUGUGCAGUGUGUAAUUGAUAAAGCAAAAAAUGCAUAUUACUACCAAGACACAGAGCUUUAUCAUACUGCUAAAAGAUGAAACUUACAAACACAAGUGGUCCAAGAACAUACAAGCAUGAUUAGGCAAGCAACUAAUAGUCUUCAGAAGAAAAAGAACCUCAUAUAAAAGACCAACAAUCACCUAGAUAUGAAGAGAAGUCCCAAUUCCCUUGGUUCUCAUCUCCCCAAAUUCAUCUAGUAGUUUUGAAAAUGAAAAAUUAUCUUGGAAAGGAGAUUCUCAAUUCAUAAUCUACUCAUAAAUAAUAGCAGGCAAGAAUUUCGAUAAGCAGCCUUGCAAUUGCAGCAAUUUUCAAUCUAAGACCAUCAUAAACAUAACCAUUGUCCUUCUAAAUCAAAGUAAUUCUGGGAAAACCAGCCAUACAUUGUAUCAAAAAUCCAAUUGCAGCAAUUUGUAACCAAGUAAUUAAAUGCAUGGGGCAGUCCAGAUUCAAUUGCCUUAGUAGCAUCACUUCGUAAAAGAAACUAAGUAAUGUGGGGCAGGAAGUUUUUGCAUGUGUGCACAUGCACACGCAUGUUUGUGUGUGUGAGAAAGUGCACAAGAGAGAGAACCUCGUAACAUCGGCGAAUAUGAAG
rnacentral:misc_RNA from 1 species